CUAAGGAAAUGGAAACCUGUACGUCAGUCUUCUUUAAUUUUGAGAGGUCUUGUGGGGCCUUAGCUCAGCUGGGAGAGCGCCUGCUUUGCACGCAGGAGGUCCAGCGGUUCGAUCCCGCUAGGCUCCAUUAGGAUAGAAAUCCUACUAAACUGAAUAACAGUGAAGUUGAAUUCACGACUAACUUCUUAGGAAAAUAGAUAAUCUUCCUUGUGUGCAAGACACACAAUGUCAGAUUCCUAAUUUUCUACAGAAGUUUCGCAGAAGCGACCGUCGUUCAUAUCCUAAACUUGUCCAUUGAAAAUUGAAUAUCUAUCAAACAUUCCUAAACGUAUGUAAAAAUACGUAUAGAAAUAGUAACAAGAAAAUAAACCGAAAACGCUGUGAAUAUUUAAUGAGUUUUCUAAUUUUUGAAAAAAAUUAGGUUA
rnacentral:tRNA from 1 species